ACGCUAUCAAUUAAUACCGUAGCG
rnacentral:siRNA from 1 species